rfam:Lepisosteus oculatus linkage group LG12, whole genome shotgun sequence.
GCCAGCAGCCAUAUCACCCUGCAAAUCACAACUGGCAACCCACUGAAGCUAAGCAGGUGUGAGCCUGGUUAGUACCUGGAUGGGAGACCUCUUGGGAAAAACUAAGGUUGAUACUGGAA